UACGUAGGGUGCAAGCGUUGUCCGGAAUUAUUGGGCGUAAAGAGCUCGUAGGCGGUUUGUCGCGUCUGCUGUGAAAACUCAGGGCUUAACCCUGAGCUUGCAGUGGGUACGGGCAGACUAGAGUGCGGUAGGGGAGACUGGAAUUCCUGGUGUAGCGGUGAAAUGCGCAGAUAUCAGGAGGAACACCGGUGGCGAAGGCGGAUCUCUGGGCCGUAACUGACGCUGAGGAGCGAAAGCAUGGGGAGCGAACAGG
rnacentral:rRNA from 1 species